CAUCAUGGUGCCGUCUCACGGUGCCUCAUGAGAGGGCAGCAGGACAGGAACCACAUGUUGCUGCCCAAGGGCUUUCUGGGUCUAUAGCUAUUUAAGUGCUGUGGCUUUGUUAGCUGAGGUUCUACCUGGUAUGGCUUGUACAGACCCUAUCAGUUUUUUCUGGGAUAGCAAUAAGAUAUGAGCUGGGUCAAGUUUUUGUCAGCUGUUAUUGAGGUUUUUAUCUAAGAAUCUCAUGCUUGAGGUAACAAAUUAAACAAACCUCCAUUGCCCGGUGGGCCUCUCAAGAUAAGACUGAAUGACAGAAGGAUGGACCUCUACCUGCAAACAGAUGGCUUGGUGAGCUGCAUGGAGCUAAUGGGCAGAGCUGAUCCCAGUUCCUGGGAGAACACCCGCACAACCAAAGAGAUGCUCUAGAUCAUUCACUAUCCGAGAACACCCAGUUUGAGAAGAAAACACAUGACUUUGCCAAGAAGUCCCAGGCUGCUAUGUCGGACCACACUGUUGAAUCUAAACAUUCCUUUACCAUGUCCAUUCAAGCUCCCAUUUGCAGUCUUGCCAGCGUCCAGAAGGAAUGCAUUCCCUGGAGAAAGAUAUUCAGGGAUGGGUGAAACACUGGUUCUCUCUCGAUAUUGUUCUCCCUCUACAGACCCAGGUACUGACAGAUAUGCUCAUCUUUUUUUAUAGUGUGGAUGCAAAGGUAUGAUCUAAGUGCAGGAUUGCUGUUCCAGUACUCAAGCCAAAGAACCAUCCUUGUCAAGAUGCCAAGAUGCUUAUCACAACCAUUGCUUUAGUUCACAUGGCUGAUGGUUUGCUUCUGAAGCUGAUCUUCAAGAGUGGGUGGCUGUGUUCCUAUCCUGGAAUAAGGAUAGUUAAACAAUAUCUAGACAGCGAGGAAGAAAUUUUGUAGACACAGGAUAUGGAACAGGGCCCCUGAAGCCAUUUUGUACAUGGCUUUAGUAAGAUAAGGUAUAUAUCUAGUGCCAGUUCCUGCCAAGAGAAGGCAUAAACCUGCCUCUUCUGAGCCGAGACUGGGGGAUUUGUCAGACUGCAUUCCCGGUUGCAUGUAGUUCACAGAGGUGUCACAAUAGUCAGCCAACAGGAGCACAAGGGUCUGUAGAUCACAGAUCCAAAAUAUGGUGCCAAUAUUCUUGUGGAUUUAUGACCCUAGAAGCUGACACAUGAAAGGAUAACUCACCAUUCAUCUGCAGCCCAAGCAGCAGUGUGUAGCUGAGUUACCGAGUAUCAUGGCCAGAGCAGGCAGACCCACAAAGAAGGGCUGUCUGAGAGCCAAUCUGUAGUGAUUUCUCAUCCUUGCUCCUUUGUGGCAUCUUGGAUCCCAAGGAGAUUGUGCUGCUUACACCUCUUCUGUAAGCAAAAUAUAGUUCAAUACAAGUACAAAGUCAGUCACAGAAUGAAAUCCUAGCCCUACUAAAGUGACACUUGCCAUCAUUUCCAAUUUGGACUCCAGUUACUUCCCUUCUUCUGUUUGCUUUAAUGCCUAUCCUAUAUAGCCUAGUAUCUAGGCAUAAAACUAUUUAAAUUUAGAACCUGUACAAAGGUUAGUACUGAGAAUGGCUUGCUCCCCUCCCUCUUUGUCAUAAACACACCAGUUACCUUGUCUCCUGCCUCCCCUGUCACCGUGCUACCAAGAGCACAGGUAGCAGGCACUCCAGCAACAACCAAGAAAUUAAAAAUUGAUUCUGGAACAACCUUAGAGUUGCAAAGUAUUUCUUCUCAUGCUGAAAACCGCACAGAUUUUCAAAUAUCUUUCAGCCAUUCAAGAUAUCUACUUUCUAUGUAGAAAUGUCUCACCUGUAUCUAGUCAGGCCUGCCUCCUUUGGAUUUAAUUUCUCCAGGCAAACAAUGUUAGCAAAACAAAAAAACAUGAUGGUGCAGGGCAGGGAGUGGACACAGUAUGAGCUGUGCUGGGCCACAGGUUGCACAUACCUGGCCUAGGUCAUUGAUGAAGAUGUGGAGAAGCACUGGUCGCAAGACGGACCCUUGAAGAACACUGCUCAU